GACGAACGCUGGCGGCGUGCUUAACACAUGCAAGUCGAACGGAAAGGCCCUGCUUUUGUGGGGUGCUCGAGUGGCGAACGGGUGAGUAACACGUGAGUAACCUGCCCUUGACUUUGGGAUAACUUCAGGAAACUGGGGCUAAUACCGGAUAGGAGCUCCUGCUGCAUGGUGGGGGUUGGAAAGUUUCGGCGGUUGGGGAUGGACUCGCGGCUUAUCAGCUUGUUGGUGGGGUAGUGGCUUACCAAGGCUUUGACGGGUAGCCGGCCUGAGAGGGUGACCGGCCACAUUGGGACUGAGAUACGGCCCAGACUCCUACGGGAGGCAGCAGUGGGGAAUAUUGCACAGUGGGCGGAAGCCUGAUGCAGCAACGCCGCGUGCGGGAUGACGGCCUUCGGGUUGUAAACCGCUUUCGCCUGUGACGAAGCGUGAGUGACGGUAAUGGAUAAAGAAGCACCGGCUAACUACGU
rnacentral:rRNA from 1 species